GCAAUGGCGUCGGCGGCGAUGGUGGUGUAGGCGCUGCCCAUGUGGGGAGGGGCGUUGACGUAAUAAAGAGGAGUGGUGAGGACAAAAGGGUCACUGGAGGCGCGGGUGGAGAAGGUGGGUGGUGUUUUUUUGGAGAGACUGAAGUGGAGGUGGGUGGUGAGACGGGUGGUGGUUUUGGAGUUGAGAGGGUUUAUGGGGUUUAAGAAGCAGUUGAUUCUAGACCCUGCUGCUGCUGCUGCCGCCGCCAUUUUUGGUGGGGAAGAAAAGUUUGGAAGGGAUUGGUUGGUCUAUUU
rnacentral:lncRNA from 1 species